AUAAGAACUGUAUGGCUAAGGACUGAAUUUUCUGGAGAGUUCAGCUGAAGUAUUAAAUCAGGGUGCACCUGUUUUGGACAAACUACCCACUAAACU